AUGAAUCCAAGUGUUAUUAAUAUAUUCAUUUACAGAUUUUGUAAUACAUCCAGAGAGCUUGCGGUGAGUGUGUGUGUGUGUCUACUUUUAUUGUCCCGUGGGUCAUGUUAUUUAGGUCUCAGGGGGUUUCUUUGCCCCGGAACCAGAGGUCAUGUUAGGAACCCAGACAGUGUGUGUGUGUGUGUGUGUGUGAGCGGCCAGACAGACUGUGCAGUGACCUGAGCCUAUAGACAGACAGAGAGGUCAUUGUCCAGGGUGAUAGGAUCUGUGUGUGUGUUUGUGUGAGAGAGAGAGAGAAAGAGUGUGUGUGUGUGCGAGAGAGAGAGUGUGUGUGUGUGUGUUUAGACCCAGACAUCAUUAUUUUUGUGAGAUCAGGGUCAACAGCUCCACCUCAUCUGAACGUAAACACACACAGAUCAUAAACUCCAUCAAAUACAGCAUAUUUAACAUCACUCAGUUCAGUUCAAUCAGGGAUUUCUGAAUAGCAAAAAAAAUUGUGUGAAAUCAAACUGGCAUUUGAUUUCAUACACGUUUUACAAGUUUGUCUAAGUUUUUAAAUCUGUGUAGCAUUUAAAGUUGAUAAAUAUUUGGUUUUGUAACUAUGUAUGGUAACGAUAUAAUACCAAGGAUAUUUUUUACUGUAAUGGUAACUUACACCCAUGAACCCAAUGUGAGUAAUAGCUUUGGUAAAUAAAAAAUAGUGAGUUUUGAUGACAUGCUGUCUGACAGAUGUGUGUUAAUGUCGGUAGACACACUAGAGCAGACAGAGAGAAACUGUGUGUGUGUGUGUGUGUGUGUGUGUGUUUCGGCACUGAUUGUCAAACUGUGUCUGGGAUCUUCCCAAAUAUGAGACCAAAUUAAUGAGAUUUCAAUUCUGUUUGAUUGAAGGAUCAACUUUGUCUCAGAUGUUCGUUAGAAGACAAAACAGACACAAGUGACUCCAAUAGAGCUAUAAGAUAAAUAUGUGUAGAAGAUUUGUGGCAAAGUCGAGUACAGUUUGACACAUUUUUGAGAUCUAAAACUCUGGAGAAGACGUAAGAUUACCAAACAUUUGAGGAAUUUACUGAAUUUACUGUUUUAAUGUUCUCAGAUUUACACUACCGUUCAAAAGUAGAUUUUUUUUUCCAAAUGUUUUUGAAAAAGUAUAAAAAAUCUGAUAAAAAUUACAAUUUAAAAUAGCUGUUUUCUAAAUGAAUGUAUAUUAAAGUGUAAUUUAUUUCUGUGAUGCGCAGCUGUAUUUUCAGCAUCAUUACUCCAGUCUUCAGUGUCACAUGAUCUUCAGAAAUCAUUCUAAUGAUUCAAGAAACAUUUCUGAUUAUUAUCAAUGUUGAAAACAGUUGUGCUGCACAAUAUUUCUGUGGAAACUGAUGCAUUUUAUAUUUCAAGAUUCACAGAUGACUAGAAAGUUCAAAAGAACAGCAUUUAUUUGAAAUAGAGAUCUUUUGUAACAUUAUAAAUGUCUUUACUGUCACUUUUGAUCAGUUAAAUGUUAAGUGAAUAGAUGCUUUUCUCCCAUGUUUACAGUUCCUAACCUAAUCUUACUUUCACAAAGCGCUGUAUGAUUGUGUUUAACGGUAACUCUGUGAUCUCUGCGGUCUGUUUUUGAGACGACAUUAUCACAGGCUCUUCCAUAUCUGACUGCCGAAGCCACCGACAGAAGUUUAACUCAGAGAAAGAGGUGGAGAAAUGAGAGAAUGACAGAUCAAAAAGGAAAACAUCUAGUGGGAUUUUGCAUGCUUUUCUCAUUUUUCCUCAUUCUCCAGCGCCGGGAUAUUGUGUCUGGCCAACAAAGACGUCGCCCCUCAUUAAAAAUACAUGUCAUCGGAUCACACCUCCACUGAAUCCAGAGAUUGUGAGCUGCAUUAAGAGACUGUGACUGUGCGCUGAAUGGGAACCGCAUCCCCGCUGCGGGCCGGGGUCAGAGGUCACCGCCUGUCUGUUAAAGCCCUGAAAUCUUUUAUUCUGCAUCCACUGCAGAAACCAACUCUCAGCGGAGAGAGAGACAGAAACUCCAGAAAACUACAAGGAAAUUCAGCAUACUCCUGAAUUUACAGCAAUUCCUAAGAUUUAAAGAUUAAAAAUGAACGUUUGUGUUUAUCAGGGUCAGAAAUGAACUUUUCAGUAAGGGCUUUUUCAUUAGUGUGAACUGAUUUACAUUUUAUUUUCCCUUGUAAUGGCAAUUUUUAUGAAUACUUUAUUAAAUCUGUGUUGUUUUCAGGGUUAUUAUGGUCAACUAAAACCUAAAUUAAAAUUAAUACCAUAAAAAAAAAAAAAAAAAACAUUUUCAAUAUUUAAUAUAAAAUAAACAUAAACAUUAUUUCUCAUUUAAUUUAGUUUAACUUUAUGUACUAAAAUAACCAAAACUGGAAUAAAAAUGUAUAAAAACUAUACAGACAUAUAUACAAAAAGUACUAAAAAUGACAAAAGCACAGAACAAAAUGACUAAAAGUUUAACUAAAAUUAAAAUAAAACCAGAAAAUAUAUAUAAAAAAACUGAUUCAGAAUAUAAAUAAAAACUAUAAUAGUAUCUCAAUGAUACAAAAAAUAUAUAUUUACAUCAAUCAAAAUAAUCAAUACUAACAAUACAAUUAUUAUAAUAAUAAAAGUGCAUCUCCUGUUGUCUCUCACAUCACAAUCCAGCCACAUAUUCAAAUAAUCUUACGCAUCCCAAACUUUUAAAUACAGCAUUGUGUAUACUAUUGAGUUACUAUAAAAAUGGAAAAUAAAAAUGUUUAUUUGGAUCUUGUUGCAACAGUGCUUCAGUGUGUAAUGUGUAUUACUUUCACAUGCUCUUCUAAACUGUGGGCAAUACACGGUACAUACUGUAAGUAUGCAGUACACUAGUAUUCAUGUCCUCCCACGACUGAAAUCAGGACCCCUGGGUUUGUCCUCAUAGCUGUCCGACCCACAUGCCUGACGGUAAAAGCAGGUGGCCCAAACGCGCUGGUCAUCUGCUUCCAAAUAUAAUGUAGUGAUGAGAAAGCAGAAACUGACCUUCAUUCAGGCCAACAGCUGCAGCGAAAUCUGUUUGUACCACUUAUUCUGCACACCUUUAAAGUUUAUCAAGACAUCAGGAGCUGAAAUCCAACCGCAGCAGCGAGAGAGAAACAUUCAUGCUUGUUACAUAUUGUUUAUCAAAAAAAUGUAUAUUGGCAUUCAGCAAGCAUGUAAAAUAUAGAUGUAUAUAUUUUUAUAUAGAUGUAACUUUAUAUAUAUUUACAUAUACUUUCAAUUAAAUCCAUUUUUAUUAUGUAUAUGUAUAUAUAUAUAUAUAUAUAUAUAUAUAUUAUAUAUAUAUGUGUGUGUGUGUGUGUGUGUUUAAUAAAUAAAUAAUAAAAAAUCUGUAAUAAAUAUUAAAUGUCUAUGCAUGCAUAUACAUACAUACUGUAUAUGCAUAUAUAUUUUAAAAUAAAAUGUAUUUCAUGAAUUUUAAUAGUAUAAAUAAUAUUUAUAAAAAAUAUGCAUGAAUAUGAAAAC
ensembl:lncRNA